AUGUACAUGCCUACGACAUAGCGUUAAUGCACUGGAUCCCAUUAGAACUCCGCAGUUAAGCACACUCGGGCUAGAUUAGUACUAGGAUGGGUGACUGCCCAGGAAAUCCUAGUGUUUUACAUG
rfam:Picea glauca, whole genome shotgun sequence.